UUUGGUAGCAGUACUGUAGAUUUCCAGCUAACCUUUCUGACUGAUCCAAGUGGAGCAUGGGGACUGAGAUACCCUGGGCUGACUUGUAUCUGUACUGGUGUAUUAGCACUUGUCAGAAAUUUUAUAGCCCUGCUGAAGCUAUGCUGCUUUCAAGACAUGAACCUGUGUUUUGGUACUCUACAAGUAGAAUAUACCAGUGCAGUGGUGUUCUGGGUUUCUGCGUGCUCCUUGCAUGGGUUAAAUGUGAUCCCAGACACCCUUGACCUGAACUGGCUAAGAAAUUAAGCAAAAUUUUGUGGAUUGUUCACUUGGAUAUAUACUCUUACUAAAGUUACUAAUGUUAAUAUGUAAUCUAAAACCCACUUCAAGUUUUCUGUAAUUUGCUGCAUGGGACUUUCUUGCUGCUUAUAUACUAAAGCCCUUACUUUCUUAGCUAUAACGUGACUUUAUUUUGCAAAUUGAGUUCAAUAUACAUAAUUCUAGAAGGCACAGGAUGUUGUUGUAUGACAUCAAAACCCCCCAAACCAAGCAGGAUGCAGAGAGGUAUUUAAUUUUUCAGUAUAUUGUUUGAAGGCUUGUAUUAUAGUCAGUAUAUUCUUAUUUGGAGUACACAGUAUCCACUCAUCGGACUAGAAAUUGAGCUGAUGGCUCGAUAAGAGUGCUUUUUCCAGCUGGCACUGGCACAACUCUCCAGAAACAGGCCGUGUCAGUAUUGCUUCCUGAGAGCUACCCUUGGCCAGCUCUGCCUGCAAACAGUUAUUCACUGGAAAGGAUAGUUUUCUACGCAGAACUAUGAAUCUCUGCUUGAAAUGCAGAAUUAAUGUUUUUCAACAACUGAUCUUCAGUAUGUUUUUAAGGACAAAAUUUAUAGAACAAAAUGACCACAGGCAAUGAAUGGAAAAGCUAAAAAUGCGAAAUAGAUGAAAGGAUAUUAUGUCAAAUGGCCAGUGGCUUUUUUGUUGUUAACGGCUGAACAUUGAUAUGAAAGAGUGUUGGAGGAAGAAGUCGAGUUCACUGAGAGUGAUGACCGGGCUAUCCCGAGAAUACAUCUGGCAUAGCUGAGCUCAAGCUGAUGAAACAUAGUAAGAGAAAGACCUUUCAUUGAAAAAAAUAAAAUAAAAAUCCGGACAACAACUCCCCAGCAUGCGCGCGCACACACACACACACUUCAGUGAGUGAAGAAAAGUUUCCCCAGCCCAGAAGUAAUGGUAGCAUACACAUAGAAGGACAGAGGCUUGACUGACAAAAAAAAAUCUAGACUUUCUCUUUGCCUUAGCCCACAUUCUAAAGCUAAUCCUAAAAAAUCUGCAGAGUCCUGGAGACAUGGUCCUGAUGCAAAACUCCCAGGAAGGGUCCCUUUGCAGCCUGGUUAUUACCUUGGCAGCUGCUUCCCAGCCCCACUACACCUGGAGAUCAAAGCUUUUUCUCUUCUUCAUUAACAGUAACCACAGUGUUUGUGCUGAACCCUAAACAUCAGCAACAAUGAAAAUCAAGUAAUACCUCCAAGCUUUGUCCUGAUUAAAAACUUCUUCCAGGCCAGAUCUUUUUGCAUGGAACACUUGCCUUAGGAACACUUGCAGUCCUUUUUCAGCUCUACUGCAGUUGGAGCUCUGCCCAACCUUAACUCUAUUCCUUACCCUAUCUAUUUAUUUAUUUAUUUUUCUGGUGAUCCCUCUGAAUUCACUCAGAUAUUGCUGAGAUGCACAGCUUCUCCUGAGCUAGGUACUUUUGCUGCCCACACUUGGCUCUGCCUACUUUUUUCCAUCCCCAGUGCAGACAGGAGAUCUAGUCUUUUCUCUGUCAUAACCAUAAUGCUAAUUUUUGUUCUGAACCUGAAAGCAUGAGGAAUUAUCCUGAUGCAAAUUUUUUCAUAGGCCAUAUCAUUUUGCAGCUGCCCCUACUUAGUUCUGGUAGCCCCUUUCCAAUCCAGCUGCACCUCAAUCUCUUUCUUUUAUCUCUACCCUAAACUUAACUCUAACUUUUCUGGCGAUUCCCAAAUAGUGGCCAUGGCAUUGCACUAACUGAAGCUUCCUCUAGGCCCUUGUUGCUCACAUUUGGUUUUGGUAUUUAUUUCUAGGUGUAUUGCAGUUUUGUCUUGAAGCAAAUUUUUUUUUUUCCCAAGCCAUGUUAAAAAAUGGUUCUUAAAAUUUUAAGUCUUUCAUGUUUUUAGUUUGAUUUUUACAAUCUUAUCUUUUGAUUUUAGCAGAAUAAGCCUUAAAAAUGUCAUAGAGAUAUCUUUAUAGUUGAAGUUACCAGGGUAGUCCUUUUAAACAUUCAGCUAACUGUUAUCAUGCAAAUUCAAUUUUCAAAGCCUGUCUUUUAAUCACUGAUAAUUUUUAGAAGUGGUAGUGAAGAGCCUCAUUUUUUAAUUAAAAAGAGAGUGACUAUGGCAAGGAUAUAAUAAGGUAUGAUGGGGAUAAAGAUAUAUUUAAUGUUAAGUCAGCUGUAAUAUUGAAUAUCAGUGUUGUGGGGUACAAAUCUGAAAUUUUCAUCCUUUCAAUUGCAGCAAUAUUAUCGUCAUGACUUCUGAAUCUGGCACUAAAUUUAGCUAGUAUCAAAGUACUUUGCCUCCUGUUACUCCCUUGCCUGUGACAAAAAUCAAAGAAUCAUCAUUUCUUCAUCCAAGAUGAAAAGACUCCAAUUUUUACAGUUCUGUGUUUUCAUUAUAGAGUUGCUUCAUCUCUGCUGGCCUGUUAUUUUAACUUUGUUUCUAGAUUUUACCCAAAAUAUGAGUUCUGAUAUAAUGAUGGUUUCUUAGACUAGGUGUGCUGUAAUCUUAAACACUUUCCGAAGGGCUUGGGGGACUGGGUGGGUAGGAGGAGGUCAGAGUGGAUUAAUUUUUUUAAAAGGAACUAACCAAAAUACCAGUUGUAUGAUGCGGACUUUAACUCACUAUUAGGAAAUGUUUUUAUGUGGAAUUAAUUCAUUAGCAAUGAUUCUCACACAUGUGACACAGCUUUCAUUAUCCCUUAUGUGAUGUAUCGAAGUGGUGUUUUUUUUUU